AAGUCGUAACAAGGUCUCCGUUGGUGAACCAGCGGAGGGAUCAUUACUGAGUACUACACUCUCUACCCUUUGUGAACUAUUAUACCUGUUGCUUCGGCGGCGCCCGCAAGGGUGCCCGCCGGUCUCAUCAGAAUCUCUGUUUUCGAACCCGACGAUACUUCUGAGUGUUCUUAGCGAACUGUCAAAACUUUUAACAACGGAUCUCUUGGCUCCAGCAUCGAUGAAGAACGCAGCGAAACGCGAUAUGUAAUGUGAAUUGCAGAAUUCAGUGAAUCAUCGAAUCUUUGAACGCACAUGGCGCCUUCCAGUAUCCUGGGAGGCAUGCCUGUCCGAGCGUCGUUUCAACCCUCGAGCCCCUGUGCCCGGCGUUGGGGAUCUGCCACGGCAGGCCCCUAAAACCAGUGGCGGACCCGAAGGGCCCUCUCCUUUGCGCAGUAGCAUUCGCCUCGCAUCGGGAGUCCUCGGCGUCCUGCCUCUAAACCCCCCACAAGCCCGCUUCGGCGGCACCAAGGUUGACCUCGGAUCAGGUAGGAAUACCCGCUGAACUUAA
rnacentral:rRNA from 1 species